CAGCCGCCACGGUAAUACGAAGGGUGCAAGCGUUACUCGGAAUUACUGGGCGUAAAGCGUGCGUAGGUGGUGGUUUAAGUCCGUUGUGAAAGCCCUGGGCUCAACCUGGGAAUUGCAGUGGAUACUGGGUCACUAGAGUGUGGUAGAGGAUAGUGGAAUUUCCGGUGUAGCAGUGAAAUGCGUAGAGAUCGGAAGGAACAUCUGUGGCGAAGGCGACUAUCUGGGCCAACACUGACACUGAGGCACGAAAGCGUGGGGAGCAAACAGGAUUAGAUACCCGGGUAGUCCCUGUCUCUUAUAC
rnacentral:rRNA from 1 species